AGUGAGAGCUGGAAUCAACGUCUUAGAGCAGCUGGAGCGCCGUCCGGGUUCGGGGAACAGUGGCUGCUUAGUUCUGCUACCUUCACAAGAGGAGGAUUUGUCUCGGAAGAGUCGGGUCUCUGUCCUCCCAUCACUCUUUUAAAUUGGCUGAAAACAAAUACCGUGUAUUGAAGAAUUUCGAAGGCUGAGAACACACGUGAAGGGGGCAGAGCUUGUGGAAGGCUGUGAUGGGAUUUUGGGAGACAACUUUAGACCCACUCAGCCACUCAGCGACAGAGUCAUUAGAGCUGCAUUUCAAUAGCCAACGACAGUGGACCCGGUGUGUCUCCAUCCGGGAGGAAGACAAUGGUCCUCUAGUGCCCUUGGAUGAGAAACGGAGACUUUGACCUGCAGCUUCAGUUUAUCCUCAAAGCCUGCAUUGUUUGUCUUCAUCUAAUCCAACUUUGAUGGACAUCUGUGACAGCUGCCUGUACACAUGCUCUAAUGAAAUAUUAGAAAUGGCUGUACCUUCAAAAGAAACCCCGUAUUAUAUAUCCACAUCACCGCUGCUAGUCUUCAUAUUUUUGCACAUACUGUUUAUUGCUUAUGUGUAGAAGAAAUGAAACUAGUUUUCGGAGUUAUUAUUAAUAUGAAUAUAUAUCAUGUAUUAAUACUGAGACAGGAAAAAUACAUUGCCAGCCUUAGCAGUCCUUCAUUUCCUGUCUCCAACAGAAAAUUCACUCAUUCGGAGAAUAAUGCAAUUCUUGAUAAUAAAAUGCAAGUUCUGAUCAAGAACAGCAUACAGCUUCAAAAUGGAAUGUGAAGGAUUAGUAAAAAUCCUCUCCCAUGUUACUUUUCAGCCCUCACCAUGAUUAAUGUCCGGGUGAUUUGUUAUGAUUUGUGAGUUAAUGCGCAAACCUGAUAAUCACUUUAUAUAUUAAUUUCUUAGCUAAAGGGUUUAAUUGAAUCUAGGAUUCUAAUCAUAUUUAUUUGACGUAUUAGAAGCCGUGGUUUCUAGGACUUUGAGAAAGGUAUAAUAAAUAAAUAGAGUAAAAAAGUGGACACUUUAUUUUUAUUUUAUAGCUUUAUUUUCCACGAUAGAAGCAUAUAUUUAAUAGUACUCCAUAAUAAUUUAGUGUUGUACAUUUUGUAAGACUUUAAAGUAUUUUAUUCUAUAGGUUUCACUUCAAUGUAUUGAAUGUUUCUUUCUAAGGUGACUAGCAAUAUCCUUAUUUUAAUUUUAAGUGCUGCUGGCAAAUUAAGCAUAGGCUUAGAUGCCGUUAGAUGUGACCAAAUGAGAUAAUUUACAUAAAGCAGUAGAGUGCCUGGCAGAAAACAAGUACUUAAUAAAGAUUAUUUAUGGUU
rnacentral:lncRNA from 1 species